UACGUAGGUGGCGAGCGUUGUCCGGAUUUACUGGGCGUAAAGAGCGCGCAGGCAGUCGUACAAGUCGCGUGUGAAAGCCCCCGGCUUAACUGGGGAGGGUCACGCGAUACUGUUCGACUCGAAGGCAGGAGAGGGAAGCGGAAUUCCCGGUGUAGUGGUGAAAUGCGUAGAUAUCGGGAGGAACACCAGUGGCGAAGGCGGCUUCCUGGCCUGUUCUUGACGCUGAGGCGCGAAAGCUAGGGUAGCAAACGGG
rnacentral:rRNA from 1 species